CUUUCUUCAUAUAACCUUAUCGUCGCGAUAGAAUAUUGUUCAUGAUCCUUCUCCAAUCUCCUCCAGGAAUGCCCUUAGAUUCCGAUCCGACGGCCCUCUCUCCUUCCAUUCUGCCGCCUUCCUCCUCACCCCGUCGCCUCGAUCACCCGUCCUCACGGAGCUCGGCAGGCACCCCCAUCCCCCAGGUGACCUCCGCCAUCCUUGCGUUCGUCGCCUGGUCCGACAGCCGCGGGGCGCCCACCAUCGGCACGCUGCAUGAUAGGCUCUCCAGCAUCGAGUUCCACCCGCAGUGGGUCACGAAGCAGCCCACCGCGGAAUGGGACAGCGCUUUCACCUGCGAGCACCACUCGACCACCAGACCUUGUUCCCCUCCUCCCUCCAGCUCCACGCCCGCCUCCUACCUGUUGUCUCGCCGUACCACCAACAGGUAUGGCCGCCUCUUCUGCGCCAGGCCCGCUGAGAGUUCCACCAGCUCCCGCUUCGUGAAAUAGUGCAAGCUUCCGAAGGAGACGUACACCACCGACCGCUGCGUUUUCGAGUCCAGCCACUCCACGUACCUCUUCUCGUCCGGCUUGCCGGUGCUUGGAUCGGACUCUUUUAGGUUCAUGAGAGUUUCCCUUUUUCAAUAGCGCUGUCAUGGAAAGGAUCUGCCCCUGAUUCUCUGACCAUUGGUUCAGAAAACCAGCAGAGUUCAGUUGUUUUUCCGAAAGGGAAUCCAAUCCCAAGUGUCAAAGCUCUUGCAUUUUAUAGAUCUACUACUUUCACAGUUGAUGUUGUGUAUGCUGAUGUGGGUGAUAUGCAAGUUCCAGCAAAAAUUAGCACAUACACAAUUGGUCCUUUCCAGACCAGCAAAGACGAGCGUGAUAAGUUGAAAGUAAAAGUUUGGUUGAAUCUCCAUGGAAUUGUUUCUAUUGAGCCAGCCACUAUGUUGGAAGAAGAGGAAGUUGAAGUUGCAACAUCGGACGUGGCAGAGCUGACAAAGUAAUCUAUGGACAUGGAUGAAGCAACAAAUGCUUCCUCAAAAACUGAAAAUGAUGUAGACGUGCAGGAAGCUCAUGGAACCACUGACAAUUCUAGUGAUGGGGUCGAGAAUGGGGCACCAGAGGCCGGGGAAAAGCCUGUUCAGAUGGAUACAGAUUCCAAGGUAAUAAAUGAAUGUGGAGAAGCAGAAAGCAUGGUUAUGGGAGAAGAAACAGCAGCAGGAUGCUUUACCUAAAUAUGCCAAUCCAGUUCUUCUUUCUCGAGAUCUAAAGAGAAAAGCUGAGACACUAGACAGGUUUUGCAAGCCGAUAAUGACAAAGCUGAGGCCACCUCCAGCCAAGCCACAGCCUUUUCGAACUGAGACACCACCAGCUCAACCUCAAACCGCUGAGCAGCAGCAGGUAACCGAUGGAAGCAGUCCGACACCGCCUACAACAGCUUCCGAGCCGAAGGACACUGACAAAUCAGUCUGACGCCACCUACAACAGUUAUAGAAGAUAUCUCUGAACUCUCCGAUGCGAAAGUUGGCAAAGAACUUUUAGUGAAUUGCAUAGUAAUAGUUGUCUAAGAGUGUCCUCCCUUGGCACAUAAUCAUAAGUUGGUUGUCAAUUCAGUUUUGGAAACGGUCCCCGAUCGGUUAGGUUGGGGACUACCGGCGAUUGUGGCUCCUUUGUGUAUAUGAAGGGAAGAUGGUCUCACUUGCUGUUUGUCAAAAAUGUAUACAUGGUUAUCAUGGGUCUUAUCUUUACACUACAUUGUUAUUAGUGAUAGUGCAAUAUUAAUGCAGUUCAGUUUGAGUA